UAACUGUUUUGUUGCCAGGUAACGCGUCACCGCCAAUACCGGCCUUAACCAUUGAGUAGGCCUUAGUAAUAUACAGGUGCUUCGUGCUUGCAGGAUGCAGGUGCUUGGCUUGGCACGGUUUGAUUCUUAUAACAAGGAUUGAUUACAAUAAAAGCCAUAAAUAAUGUGGAGAGGAAAAGAGGCUUUCUGUUAAAACAGCAUUUGAUGUUCCAGUCAAAUUUUCACCAAAGUGACCAGUGGUAGCUAUUUAAUCAGUUAAUAUGCCUUACUUAAAAAUGUACUGCUGUUGUUUAAAAAAGUAGGGUUGAAUCUGACAAUUUAUAUGUAUAUUUUGAAUGGCUAUCUGGUUCAGCUAUAUUUUAAGGAAAAGUCUAUUGCCUCCCCCACGAAUUUCAGGGGGGUAUCUUUUAAUAGUGUUUGAACCUAACAGUCUGUCAAAUUCUCUUCAAUACCUUGUCACAUACCCCUGUGGUUUGAGUACUUUGCGCAAGGUUAGCUACAACAAAUUUAGAUGCAGAUUAUUUCAUCAUAAAUCCAUCCACAAUCAGCCAGAGCAAAGUCUAAAUCAAAGAAUCCUAAUCCUACACCUCAGUUUGAAAGAGAAUAGUUAUCAUCUUUCUGUAGGGUAAUAAGGAUUUCUUACAAUAGGGUAAAAAGGAUGUUAUGGUAUAAACCAAAAAAUGCUGGUUUAUGACAAAAGUAACAAGUGCAAUAUGAUACAACCUUAGUCGACAUUAAAAAUCUUAGGCUGAGCCUAUAUUUUUUACUGGAAACAUAUUUUUAUUUCAUCCAUAACUCUGUUGUAUCAGUUAAUACCAAAAAGCACUUACAUUUCCUUCUAUGGAUACGCGGAUAAACUCAAUGUUUGGUUAGAACGAACUGUAUUCACAACUGACCUGAAUUGAAAAUUUUAUUUACUAAAUUUAGAGCACAUUUUCGGUCAAAAAUAUGAAACUAUAAUUGAUAUUGGUAACACGCAUUGGCCCCCGGAUUCCGGGGCCAAUAUUUCGAGUGACCGUAUUUCGUGGCAAAUAGCGAAUACCUAAGAUAUUCCUACAAAAGUAUGAAUUAUUUAAUAUUAUUAACCUUACCUAAAUAAGGUGGCCUAAAAACAUUUAACCUAGGUAAAUUUUCUUAUUUUGAUGGUUGCUGCGCCUAAACAGAUUUUUUUCGUUUAGCUGAAUUAACGAUUAAAUGCAGUAUCAUCUUUUUAACCCUGUUGAACCUCUGAAUAGGGCCUAUCAAGCAUCGAAGCCUGGACUAAAUUUGUUGACUAUUUGUGUCGCUAGAUGGCGUACAAAGAAUUCUAUAAACUGAUGGCCGUGUACUUCUAUUUACCCCUUAAAUUUUCAGAACUCUAAGAAGCGACGCCAUCUAGCGAUGAAGAAGAAAUUAAAAUUACUAUCGAUAUAAUUUAAUUUUAAUCGAUUUCAUCGCUUCCCAAUAUACAAGCAGACGAAUUUGUGACAGACUUAUCGAAAGAUUUGAUAGGUGUUUAAGUUUGUUUCUCGUUGCAAGUUUGGAAAACAAAUGGUCAAUUGGUAAAAGAAAUGGUAUGGUCCCCUUUGGGUGUUGAGCCUGGCCUACACCCGCCGUGAGUGAAAAUGUUUGUCGAUGUUAUAGCUUUGGCAUUAUGAAGAAUUUUGUUCAUCUAUUUGUCCUUUUUUUUUCUUCUGAGGUGUUGGAAAAAAUAAUUACAUGGAGGUUGAGCAUCAAUUUUCGAAUUGAUUUGUCACCAUUGGCUGAUUUGAAAAAACAGGGAUUGGGCCAACCAUUUUCUUACCACACUUAUCAUUGGAAUUCUGGCAUGGUAGCUGUUACAGGACACUCUCCUUGGUUCGUUAGUGAGGUUUCAGAAAGCAGAACUCCAAGAGCAAGAAUCUAAUUUACUGGUGGUCAACCCAAUAUAGAUUAUUUAACUUUGUUUUCUUGCAUUGAUGGUGAAAUUGAAUUAUAUUGAAAUUUAAAAGUUUUUGAAGCUAUUUGCCUACUAAUCAGAAACCACAUGUGAAGAGUUGCUGAAUGUGUCAACAGAGCAUAAUGCAAAACUUGAAUUGAAUUCAACAAAACUACUUUGAGGUUGCAGUGGCAGAAAUUUAAAGUUGGUGGUAAGAUAAUGGCUAUCAAUGUUGAGAAUUUGAAUUGCAAAUUUUAAUUUAGUUAUAGGUAUAUAAGUACUUGUUGCCUGUAGAUUACUAAAUGAUAAUUUAAGUUGCCAUAUCUUGAAAUUGGUUUUCUUUUAAAAUGCUAAAAUUAAAUACAUAGACAUAAAUGGAA